rnacentral:rRNA from 1 species
UACGUAGGUGGCAAGCGUUGUCCGGAAUUAUUGGGCGUAAAGCGCGCGCAGGCGGUCCUUUAAGUCUGAUGUGAAAGCCCACGGCUCAACCGUGGAGGGUCAUUGGAAACUGGGGGACUUGAGUACAGAAGAGGAAAGCGGAAUUCCAGGUGUAGCGGUGAAAUGCGUAGAUAUCUGGAGGAACACCGGUGGCGAAGGCGGCAUCCUGGACAAACACUGACGCUGAUGAGCGAAAGCCAGGGGAGCAAACGGG